CUACGAAGGGGGCAAGCGUUGUUCGGAAUAACUGGGCGUAAAGCGCACGUAGGCGGAAUGUUAAGUUAGAGGUGAAAUCCCAGGGCUCAACCCUGGAACUGCCUUUAAUACUGGCAAUCUAGAGACCGAGAGAGGUGAGUGGAAUUCCGAGUGUAGAGGUGAAAUUCGUAGAUAUUCGGAGGAACACCAGUGGCGAAGGCGGCUCACUGGCUCGAUACUGACGCUGAGGUGCGAAAGCGUGGGGAGCAAACAGGAUUAGAAACCCUUGUAGUCC
rnacentral:rRNA from 1 species